rnacentral:lncRNA from 1 species
CUGGGUGAGUUCACUUGAAUGAAUUUAGCUCUAUCGUUUCUUUAACUAUACAGGAAAUUUUAACAAAAUCUUAAUCAACACAUCAUGGGCUUCAAAAGGGUGUCUCAAAUUGUCCCUAUGAGGUUCCAUUCUCUCAUAAAUCUCUAAUUAGUGUAAACAUCCUAACCACAUAAAAGAGGAUAAUGUUUGAUUAGGUGUAAAAUUUGUUCUAUACAUUCUAUCUGAAAUCUGAGACACCCUUUUGUAGAUAAUGGCCAUUGGAACAACAUAUCAUAAAAUCAACC